ensembl:lncRNA
UUCACGAGUGAGGGAAGGAUGGAACGGGAGAUUGACAGACGGAUCGGUGCAGCUUCUGCAGUAAUGCAGUCGAUGUAUCGGUCUGUCGUGGUGAAGAAAGAGCUGAGCCGCAAGGCGAAGCUCUCGAUUUACCAGUCAAUCUACGUUCCUACUCUCACCUAUGGUCAUGAGCUUUGGGUCAUGACUGAAAAGACAAGAUCCCGGAUACGAAAUGAGCUUUCUCCGCAGGGUGGCCGGGCGAUCCCUUAGAGAUAGGGUGAGAAGUUCGGUCACCCGGGAGGAGCUCAGAGUAGAGCCGCUGCUCCUCCACAUCGAGAGGGGUCAGCUGAGGUGGCUUGGGCAUCUUUUUCGAAUGCCUCCGGAAUGCCUUCCUGGGAAGGUGUUCUGGUCCCGUCCCACCGGGAGGAGACCCUGGGGAAGACCUAGGACACGCUGGAGGGACUAUGUCUCCCGGCUGGCCUGGGAACGCCUCGGUGUCCCCCCGGAAGAGCUAGAGGAAGUGUCUGGGGAGAGGGAAGUCUGGGCAUCACUGCUUAGACUGCUGCCCCCGCGACCCGGCCCCGGAUAAGCGGAAGAUGAUGGAUGGAUGGGUAUGCAGAAUUUUGAACAGGGGUAUGUAACUGAGCUCCUGGGUGGAGAGGCCCAUGUCUCCUGUUCUGUGGUACUACCUUCUCUCUGCCACUUGCGUCUCAAGAUGGAAGCCUGUGAUGAGGACCCUGCAUAUGUGGUGAGAUUCAAGAACAAGUUCAAGGAGGACCUAGCAUCCCGUCAAGAACAGCUCAACAAUGCAUGGCUCCAGAUUGCUACAGUUUUGGAUCCUCGUUUCAAAGACUUGAAAUGCCUGCCCAAGACAGACAGGGAAGAGGUGUGGACCACACUUGAAGGGAUGCUGCAACAAGAAUCACCCAGAAGGUCUUCACAGACACAUGAUGAUGGGCCACCCAGGACGAAAAUCAGCCUUCUGCAAAUGGGCUCAGAUUCAGAAUCAGAAGAUGAAGAGGUCCAACCUGCCAUACAGAGGUACAGAGCAGAGCCCACCAUUAAAUUGGAGGACUGCACCUUGAGGUGGUGGGCAUCUCAUUCAGGAGCCCAUGAGAAGCUGGCCUCACUAGCUCACAAAUAUCUAGCCACUCCUGCAACCACUGUUCCCUGUGAAUGACUUUUCUCAGUUGCAG